UACGGGGGGGGCAAGCGUUGUUCGGAAUUACUGGGCGUAAAGGGCUCGUAGGCGGCCAACUAAGUCGGAUGUGAAAUCCCCAGGCUUAACCUGGGAACUGCAUCCGAUACUGGAUGGCUUGAAUCCGGGAGAGGGAUGCAGAAUUCCUGGUGUAGCGGUGAAAUGCGCAGAUAUCAGGAAGAACACCCGUGGCGAAGGCGGUUCUCUGGGACGGUACUGACGCUGAGACGCGAAAGCGUGGGGAGCGAACAGG
rnacentral:rRNA from 1 species